rnacentral:rRNA from 1 species
UGGGGAAUAUUGCACAAUGGGCGCAAGCCUGAUGCAGCCAUGCCGCGUGUGUGAAGAAGGUCUUCGGAUUGUAAAGCACUUUAAGUUGGGAGGAAGGGCAGUAAGCUAAUACCUUGCUGUUUUGACGUUACCGACAGAAUAAGCACCGGCUAACUCUGUGCCAGCAGCCGCGGUAAUACAGAGGGUGCAAGCGUUAAUCGGAAUUACUGGGCGUAAAGCGCGCGUAGGUGGUUUGUUAAGUUGGAUGUGAAAGCCCCGGGCUCAACCUGGGAACUGCAUCCAAAACUGGCAGGCUAGAGUACGGUAGAGGGUGGUGGAAUUUCCUGUGUAGCGGUGAAAUGCGUAGAUAUAGGAAGGAACACCAGUGGCGAAGGCGACCACCUGGACUGAUACUGACGCUGAGGUGCGAAAGCGUGGGGAGCAAACA